rnacentral:rRNA from 1 species
GGCCUAACACAUGCAAGUCGAACGGUAACAGGAAGCAGCUUGCUGCUUCGCUGACGAGUGGCGGACGGGUGAGUAAUGUCUGGGAAACUGCCUGAUGGAGGGGGAUAACUACUGGAAACGGUAGCUAAUACCGCAUAACGUCGCAAGACCAAAGAGGGGGACCUUCGGGCCUCUUGCCAUCGGAUGUGCCCAGAUGGGAUUAGCUAGUAGGUGGGGUAACGGCUCACCUAGGCGACGAUCCCUAGCUGGUCUGAGAGGAUGACCAGCCACACUGGAACUGAGACACGGUCCAGACUCCUACGGGAGGCAGCAGUGGGGAAUAUUGCACAAUGGGCGCAAGCCUGAUGCAGCCAUGCCGCGUGUAUGAAGAAGGCCUUCGGGUUGUAAAGUACUUUCAGCGGGGAGGAAGGCGAUAAGGUUAAUAACCUUGUCGAUUGACGUUACCCGCAGAAGAAGCACCGGCUAACUCCGUGCCAGCAGCCGCGGUAAUACGGAGGGUGCAAGCGUUAAUCGGAAUUACUGGGCGUAAAGCGCACGCAGGCGGUCUGUCAAGUCGGAUGUGAAAUCCCCGGGCUCAACCUGGGAACUGCAUUCGAAACUGGCAGGCUAGAGUCUUGUAGAGGGGGGUAGAAUUCCAGGUGUAGCGGUGAAAUGCGUAGAGAUCUGGAGGAAUACCGGUGGCGAAGGCGGCCCCCUGGACAAAGACUGACGCUCAGGUGCGAAA